UCAAAUCUACAUGAAUAGUUGGAAUAUAAGAGGCAAGAAUAUUUAUAUCCAUGAAAUCCAGCAAUUAAAUAUAAGAUUGUACAGCACAGCGCCGUUUUUGUUAUGUUUUCGUUGUGAUCGCCGUGUUCACUAGGCCUAACACCGGCGACAAAACGUAUUAUUUUCGGUUAGAUAUCGAUGGAUGAGCAUCAGUUGAAACUGAUUUCCGAGAAACGUAUAUGAGGAUGUACAUUUGCAGCGUAAAAUCAGAGUAGUCUGUGGAAAUUUUUUGACACGAAAUCCCCGCUUCACUGUGUUUGUUUUCGUCGCCAUUUUGGGUGGCAAUGAGGUGUCAUGGCGACCCCCUUGAUAAAGAGCAAACCAAUCAGUGGAGCGAAACUGUGAUUGACAAGUCGAGCCUCUUUUUGUGACUCCUCCCAAUGGCCAGACUCUCUUUUAAUAUACGGCUCUGAGCCGAGCGCUACCGGUGCGCCAUCUGUUAGGCAAGAACAGAGGCCGCAGCGCUCCGCCUUCCGAGUCCUCCUAUUGGCGUGCAUUUUGGAGGCGGAGCCUCCCUCGCGAACUCAAGGAUAGUUUUUUGAUAUAUUGACUCAUGGGCCCAUCACGGGGAUGUGCGAUGUAUCCUUGUUCCCCCACUUUUCUGAAUCUCAUUUCUGUGUCAUUAACAUUUUUUGCUACUAUAUUGACUCAUUAGCCCUUUACGUGGUAUAUGUAAUGUGCCUAUGUCCCCAGUAUCUUUUUGCGAUGUUUCAGUAGGGGUAGGUUGAACUGAAAUUCAGCAAGGCCUGUGUGUCACUUACUACAUAUCUACAUAUACCAGUGCUGAUUGCAAUACGUGAGGUAGUCUUUGUAAAACUCUACCUUGCAAUAAAGAUUCUAAUAGAAUGAUAUAUAUGUGCACAAAAUCAAGCUUCCUUUCAGCUCUGGUCUAAUGGUCCCAGCAGCUAUGUGGCUAGUUUUCGUGCCAUUUAGCUGAGGGAGCCACUGGAUUGGGACCAAGACUGAAAUCCCAUCUGUCAAGUGGUCCCACUUGCUGACUGGUUCCAGAUCCCAAGCAGUCCCCACUCCAUAGUGGUUCCCUACGGGAACCACCUGGGAAUGGGGACCAGCAUGAGACCUGUCUCAAAAACCACUUUGAACUGGUCCCAUUCUAGAUUUUUGCCUGGACUCCAAGGCAAACACCCAUCGCUCCUUUUGUGCUCGAGAAGUGUGUCGCUUCAGCUCAUCUGCAUAGUAAAAUUUAGCGAUUUAUGUCUCGAGGGAUGCCCAGCAGUUCUGUUGGAAACCAGAACCAAGAACACAAAGAAACUCCAUAGGUGUCCAGUAGUUACAUAAGGCUUCAGACAGGAUGACCGUCUGGCCACAUAAUGCAUCUGUGAAAACCACAUCAAGGACAAUGCAUGCCCGCAUACCACACAUCUCACGACAGGCACCUUAUAGGAACUUGGCUGGGAGUUGCUGCCACAUCCCCCUUACAGUCCAGACCUCGCCCCCAGCCAUUUCCAUCUCUUCGGACCACUGAAGGCGUUCCUUGGGGGCCGCCACUUCAGCUGCGACGACGAGGUCAAGAAUGCGGUCCGAUCAUGGCUGCUAUGCGCCGCCAUGGACACGACAUGGAUUAUCUCAAGUUCCUUAUCAACUGACAAAAUCUUCGUUUUCUGAACUGCACUAAUCACAAAACACCAUUGGAAAAAGAAAUUCGAACCUACUACUGAGGUAUGUACGCCGGUGACACUUCGGCAACCGCUAG